UACAGGGGGGGCAAGCGUUGUUCGGAAUUACUGGGCGUAAAGGGCUUGUAGGUGGCCACUUAAGUCAGACGUGAAAUCCCUCAGCUUAACUGGGGAACUGCGUCUGAUACUGCGUGGCUUAAGUGCAGGAGAGGAACGCGGAAUUCCAGGUGUAGCGGUGAAAUGCGUAGAUAUCUGGAGGAACACCGGUGGCGAAGGCGGCGUUCUGGACUGUAACUGACACUGAAAAACGAAAGCCAGGGGAGCAAACGGG
rnacentral:rRNA from 1 species